rnacentral:rRNA from 1 species
GACGAACGCUGGCGGCGUGCUUAACACAUGCAAGUCGAACGGAAAGGCCCUGCUUUUGUGGGGUGCUCGAGUGGCGAACGGGUGAGUAACACGUGAGUAACCUGCCCUUGACUUUGGGAUAACUUCAGGAAACUGGGGCUAAUACCGGAUAGGAGCUCCUGCUGCAUGGUGGGGGUUGGAAAGUUUCGGCGGUUGGGGAUGGACUCGCGGCUUAUCAGCUUGUUGGUGGGGUAGUGGCUUACCAAGGCUUUGACGGGUAGCCGGCCUGAGAGGGUGACCGGCCACAUUGGGACAGAGAUACGGCCCAGACUCCUACGGGAGGCAGCAGGGGGGAAUAUUGCACAAUGGGCGGAAGCCUGAUGCAGCAACGCCGCGUGCGGGAUGACGGCCUUCGGGUUGUAAACCGCUUUCGCCUGUGACGAAGCGUGAGUGACGGUAAUGGGUAAAGAAGCACCGGCUAACUACGUG